UCGGAGGAAAAGAAACCAACAGGGAUUGCCUCAGUAGCGGCGAGUGAAGCGGCAAGAGCUCAGAUUUGAAAUCGUGCUUUGCGGCACGAGUUGUAGAUUGCAGGUUGGAGUCUGUGUGGAAGGCGGUGUCCAAGUCCCUUGGAACAGGGCGCCCAGGAGGGUGAGAGCCCCGUGGGAUGCCGGCGGAAGCAGUGAGGCCCUUCUGACGAGUCGAGUUGUUUGGGAAUGCAGCUCCAAGCGGGUGGUAAAUUCCAUCUAAGGCUAAAUACUGGCGAGAGACCGAUAGCGAACAAGUACUGUGAAGGAAAGAUGAAAAGCACUUUGAAAAGAGAGUGAAACAGCACGUGAAAUUGUUGAAAGGGAAGGGUAUUGCGCCCGACAUGGGGAUUGCGCACCGCUGCCUCUCGUGGGCGGCGCUCUGGGCUUUCCCUGGGCCAGCAUCGGUUCUUGCUGCAGGAGAAGGGGUUCUGGAACGUGGCUCUUCGGAGUGUUAUAGCCAGGGCCAGAUGCUGCGUGCGGGGACCGAGGACUGCGGCCGUGUAGGUCACGGAGCAUUCCAAUAGA
rnacentral:rRNA from 1 species